rnacentral:rRNA from 1 species
UACAGAGGUGGCAAGCGUUGUUCGGAAUUACUGGGCGUAAAGGGCGCGUAGGUGGUUCUGUAUGUCUGCCGUGAAAGCGUACGGCUCAACCGUAUUUUGUCGGUAGAAACUGCAGGACUUGAGGCUGGGAGGGGCUGGUGGAAUUCCCUGUGUAGCGGUGAAAUGCGUAGAGAUGGGGGAGAACACUCGUGGCGAAGGCGGCCAGCUAGACCAGUUCUGACACUGAGGCGCGACAGCGUGGGGAGCAAACAGG